UUUUUUAAGAUACUAAAGAUUGUUCUAUUAAAGCAUGUGAUGAUUUUAAAUCAAUAUUAAGUGAUCAACGAAGACUUAAUUUAAAACUAAAACUAUAUUAUUCUAUAAUAUGGUAUGUGAUCUUAACAUAUGUUGUACUGUCUUCAUGCUCAAUCAUAACAUUAACUUAUUCGUUUAUUAUGACAUGCAUUUCGUCGACCAAAUCGUUACCAGUUCUCAGCAUAAUUAAAAUCAUAGCACCAUUUUCAAUAGUUUCAUUUCAAAUAUUUUUACAUUGCUAUUUUUUUGGACUUAUAAACUUUAAAAAAGCAUCCGUCAGUUAUGGAAUGUAUUCUUGUAAUUGGACAUCGAUGGAUUUAAAAUUUAAAAAGUUAUUACUUUUAUCAAUGCAGAUGAAUGAUGCUGACAAAUUAAUGAUUAAAGCUACACCAACUAGAAUUAUUAAUUUAGAACUUUUCGUUAAGGUGAUGAUAACAACCUACAACAUAGUGUCUGUAAUGCUGAAUACAUUUAAUUCGAGAACGUAAUUCAAGCAACAAUAAAAAAGAGCACUUUAAAGUCUUUGCUCAGUUAAUUGUAGUUAUUUUUGAGUUAUAAUAUAUAUGUAGACUGUAUGAAAAUGUAUUUCUGAUUGACAAUUAGGAGUUACUUUCAUAUUAGAGUUUUUUGUAAGUGUUUCUGACGUGCUAAUUGAACUAUCUCAGACCGGGUUGAGUUUCUGAUAGAAGAUUAUUGAUAAUCAUUCAUUCUUUUUUUUUGUUCACCUAAUGCUACCCAUUCACAAACGAAUUACAAAACAAUUUGAAGUAAAAGUUAGGUAUAUUUUAUUUUAAAAUAUAAAUAAGUGAUCACUAAGACUACGAUUUUCUAGAAGUUAUUAUUUAAUAUUGUCGAAAAUAUAGCUAAGUAAAUAGUAAUAUUUACAAAUAAUAGGAGUUUUUAUUUAAAAUUUGUAAUUGAAAAUUUGAAAAUUUUGCGUGUACAACUUUUUAAAAUUUUUAAGUGCAUAAUUAGCCAUUUUCUUAUAUAAAAUUAAUUUUAAAUAGAUUUCCUGGUCCUGAGAUAUUAGUUUGAUGGUUUUAUUUUAUCUAUAUUACAUAGUAGGUACAUUAAAAGUAUAAAUAAAACUAUAAAAUAUUUGUGUUUAAGCUUUCCUCACCGAUCACAUAAAUUGUAACUAAUCGAUACGUAAAAUAUAACUGUUUAUUGCUAGUGUUGCCAA